rnacentral:rRNA from 1 species
AGUAAUACAUCGGAACGUGUCUUCUAGUGGGGGAUAACUGCCCGAAAGGGCAGCUAAUACCGCAUGAGACCUGAGGGUGAAAGCGGGGGAUCGCAAGACCUCGCGCUGGAAGAGCGGCCGAUGUCCGAUUAGCUAGUUGGUGAGGUAAAGGCUCACCAAGGCGACGAUCAGUAGCUGGUCUGAGAGGACGACCAGCCACACUGGGACUGAGACACGGCCCAG